UCUUCACCUACUGCUGCAUAAACUGCAUCCACAUACUUCCUGAUCUACAUCAGCUGGAGAAGAAUUACUCCAUACAAGAUGGUCUGAUUGUCGUGGGUGUUCACUCAGCAAAAUUCCCCAAUGAGAAAGUCCUCCAGAACGUACAGAGUGCGGUGUUGAGAUACGACAUCAACCAUCCUGUAGUGAACGACAGCGAUGCCCGUCUGUGGCAGGAGCUGGAGGUGUCCUGCUGGCCCACACUGCUGCUGCUGGGACCCAGAGGAAACUUGCUUUUCUCCCUGGUUGGUGAAGGG